GUGAGCUUUGUUCCCUGUAAGGCUCUCAAGAUUUCAAGCUAGGUUUAAUCAAAUUAUAGUACGCUUUUCUAGUUCUUUUAUUUCUCAAAACUAAGUUACAUUCUUGAGACUUUUCCGAGUUUCAGAGGUGUCCAAUAGAUGGCAAGUGUCCUCGCUUUUCAUGUAAUGGCGGAUUGUUGUUGUCAAAAGUUCCUAUUUUUCCACGAAAUUACCGAUUAAUUCAAAAGAAGGAACGCGAAAGGAAAUAUUAGCCUUCAAGUAGCCUACGAUCAACUCUUUCAUGAUCGACGUUUUGGUGAAUAAUGCAUCAUCCAGUUAAUACAGGUCACUAACCCUAGUUUGGACAUACAUAUAUUGUUUUUUUCCGAACAUGUUUUUCUACAAAUGUUGCAUUGACAGACAUAGAAAGCUAAAGGCCAUUGGUAAUCUUCAGGUUUAUUGCAGCAACUUCGGAGACGUCUCAUGAAAAGAUGCAGGGCACAUACCAACAUAAGUUGCAUUUUUCUGAAUGUCUUACUCAAGUAGUAGAUUCCACAUGAUUAACGUGUCAAAGUUAGUUAGAACUUCAACUCAGACACAGAUGACUGCUGCUGCUGCCUUACAGCCAAAGACUAGGGAGAGCUGUUGGAGUAAUCUUGUCUUCGAUCAUCCUCACUUGACUCAUUUCAUCUUCUGGAUAUCUUAGAGAAACCUGAUUGGUGUUAUCAAGAUAAUGACCAAGAGGAUGCGGCCUACAGACUGAGAACAUCA